CUUAAGCAUAUCAAUAAGCGGAGGAAAAGAAACCAACAGGGAUUGCCCUAGUAACGGCGAGUGAAGCGGCAACAGCUCAAAUUUGAAAUCUGGCCUCACGGUCCGAGUUGUAAUUUGUAGAGGAUGCUUCUGGCGACGUGCCUUCCGAGUUCCCUGGAACGGGACGCCAUAGAGGGUGAGAGCCCCGUCCGGUCGUGCACCUAGCCUCUGUGAAGCUCCUUCGACGAGUCGAGUAGUUUGGGAAUGCUGCUCUAAAUGGGAGGUAUACGUCUUCUAAAGCUAAAUACCGGCCAGAGACCGAUAGCGCACAAGUAGAGUGAUCGAAAGAUGAAAAGCACUUUGAAAAGAGGGUUAAAUAGUACGUGAAAUUGCUGAAAGGGAAGCGCUUAUGACCAGACUUGGGCUCGGUGAAUCAUCCGGCGUUCUCGCCGGUGCACUUUGCCGUCCCAGGCCAGCAUCAGUUCGCGCCGGGGGAUAAAGGUUUCGGGAACGUGGCUCCCUCGGGAGUGUUAUAGCCCGUUGCGUAAUACCCUGGCGUGGACUGAGGUCCGCGCUCUGCAAGGAUGCUGGCGUAAUGGUCAUCAGUGACCCGUCUUGAAACACGGACCAAGGAGUCGUCUUCGUAUGCGAGUGUUCGGGUGUCAAACCCCUACGCGUAAUGAAAGUGAACGUAGGAGAGAGCUUCGGCGCAUCUCCGACCGAUCCUGAUGUUCUCGGAUGGAUUUGAGUAAGAGCAUACGGGGCCGGACCCGAAAGAAGGUGAACUAUGCCUGUAUAGGGUGAAGCCAGAGGAAACUCUGGUGGAGGCUCGCAGCGGUUCUGACGUGCAAAUCGAUCGUCAAAUAUGGGCAUGGGGGCGAAAGACUAAUCGAACCUUCUAGUAGCUGGUUUCCGCCGAAGUUUCCCUCAGGAUAGCAGUGUUGAACUCAGUUUUAUGAGGUAAAGCGAAUGAUUAGGGACCCGGGGGCGCUUUUUAGCCUUCAUCCAUUCUCAAACUUUAAAUAUGUAAGAAGCCCUUGUUGCUUAGUUGAACGUGGGCAUUCGAAUGUAUCAACACUAGUGGGCCAUUUUUGGUAAGCAGAACUGGCGAUGCGGGAUGAACCGAACGCGAGGUUAAGGUGCCAGAGUAGACGCUCAUCAGACACCACAAAAGGUGUUAGUACAUUNUGACAUUUGGACGGUGGCCAUGGAAGUCGGAAUCCGCUAAGGACUGUGUAACAACUCNCCAAACGAAUGUACUAGCCCUGAAAAUGGAUGGCGCUCAAGCGUCUCACCCAU
rnacentral:rRNA from 1 species